AUUGAACGCUGGCGGCAGGCCUAACACAUGCAAGUCGGACGAGGGGCGGACGGGUGAGUAAUGUAUGGGGAUCUGCCUGCUGGCGGGGGAUAACUACUGGAAACGGUAGCUAAUACCGCAUACCAUCAGAGGAACCCAUAUGGGAUUAGCUUGUAGGUGAGGUAACGGCUCACCUAGGCGACGAUCCCUAGCUGGUCUGAGAGGAUGAUGAGUAACACGUGGAAGAGGACGCGGCCGAGACUCCUACGGGAGGCAGCGGUGGGGCAUCUUGGGCAAGGUGCACAAGCCUGAUGCAGCCAUUCCGCGUGUAUGAAGAAGGCCUUCGGGGUGUAAAGUAUGAUCAGUCGGGAGGCGUUACCUACAGAAGAAGCACCGGCUAACUCCGUGCCAGCAGCCGCGGUAAUUC
rnacentral:rRNA from 1 species